GAUGAAGAACGCAGCGAAAUGCGAUAAGUAAUGUGAAUUGCAGAAUUCAGUGAAUCAUCGAAUCUUUGAACGCACAUUGCGCCCCCUGGUAUUCCGGGGGGCAUGCCUGUCCGAGCGUCAUUAUAACCCUCAAGCUCAGCUUGGUGUUGGGGCCUGCUGCAGUGGCAGCCCUUAAAAUCAGUGGCGGCGCCAUCUGGCUCUAAGCGUAGUAAUUCUUCUCGCUAUGGAGUCCUGGUGGAUGCUUGCCAUCAACCCCCAAUUUUUCUAUGGUUGACCUCGGAUCAGGUAGGGAUACCCGCUGAACUUAAGCAUAUCAAUAAGCGGAGGA
rnacentral:misc_RNA from 1 species